GCCUGUUGUCUCUGUGUUGUCAUUCUUUUUAACAGUCUGUGUUGCAGCUCUACUCAUUUCAAUAAUUCUGUUGAUAAAACUUUGUGAUGUUAGAAAACCUGAAGGAGACACUCGGACCUCUGGAUUUGACUCAGCUAAUCAAGUGGAAGCUAUAGAAGACAAUCCAAUCAGUGACAGUCUUAUGUGACAUCGGACAGAGCAGAGGGAUAAAUCGGUAUGCACUCUACUCAACAGUGAGGAAAAAAACACCACUUAUUCACAAAUCGUGAAAGACAAGAGAAACAAAUCAUAGUCAACAGGUACGGCUUCUCUCCUUUGUCUCUGUCAUUGUUCCGAAUCAGAACAAGAUCCCAGCACGUUGAUAUUUUAGUCUGUAUCAAAAGGACACUGAUCAAUGGCCAUGAGUCCCAGUCACAGAGAGUUGGGGAAUGGCUGCAAUCACAGCAUUGUAAGAUGGUGACAGAUGUACCCUUAGGCCCUUUUCACAUAAAUGGUCUCCAUGACUUUCUGCUCAAACCAGCUUUCAUGUGUACAUCCUCAUCAUUGAAAGAGUGUCCACUGGCCUGUAGCCAUAUAUAGACUGUGACGUUUUGGCAUUUGUGCCGGGGCGCUCGAUUCUUGGGGCAGACCAGUUUUUGGCGCAGCAUAUUUUGGGGUUUUGCGUCAGUAUUGAAAAAGCUGAGAUGCACUUUCUUUAAUUAGUGGAGCAGGAAAAAGAAAACACCAAGAACUGUGUUUAAACCUGUUAAAUUGACAUAAUGAUGUUUGUCUUUCCAGAGUUUCCAUCAGAGCCAGAUGCCAUCUCUCCCGUAAAAGAUGUAGUCCACCAGUCCAACCACUGCAGUCCAGCUGAGGGUCUCGAAUCCGUCCACCCAACACCCCAGAUAACAAUUACUUGUAUAACCGAUUAGUAGAUAUCUUCUGUUCUUUACAUGGAGUUACAGUCACACAACUUUUGUGAGACAAGAAAAUCAAUUCAACAGUGAAAAAGAUUUUUAUAUUAAAAAAAAACCUUUAAAAAUGUAAAUGCUAAAGACUAAAACAAAAAGCAAUAAUAAUAAUUGUCUUUAUCACCACAGCAAUUAUCUGGUUUCUCUGCAAGAUCAGUUAGCUUUGGUCUCAUUUCUUUGUUCUUAUUUGUGUGGUUCUGUGGGUUUUACAAAGAUUUCUGAACGCAAAAAUUUGAGGCGUUGUGGCAAACCCGUGCACACUUUUCUUCACUUUAACCAGACUGUAAACAGCAUGAACAUCAUUCAGAAGGUCGACAGUGCACAGAAUAUAUUUAGAACAAACUGGACGUGUCUAUUUGUACAUUUUGAUUCAAGGAAAUUGAAUUUAUGAGACUUCAGUUGUUUUUCAAACUAAGCAUGCCUCCAUAGUAUUAUAUUUUUCGAAUUAUGCAGCUGCACACAUUCAUCUUAGCGUGUUUUUCAGUGUCUGUGGACACAGGGUAUAGAUUUUCUUUUAAACUUCUAUGGCUGAUUGCUUUGCUCCUACAUUGUUCUUCAGUUUAUUGCUAUUAUGUCAGUUUGAUCAAAGAAAAAGAAAUAAAUAUUACAUAUAUUGUGAGGAUCAAUGUUCAAACAGGUCAUGUUUUUGAUGCAGUUGUAAGUGCCGUGUUUGAUUGUGAUAUUUGCCUGUAAGUUGCACAAUUGUGAGUCAUUAUGUUGCUGUGUAUAAUUAAAUGAAAAUGAAAAAAUAAAUGUAAUGCUUAUUAUUAACAAAAUUCAUGUGAAGCAGCAAAGUUAAUAAAUUCAAAUAUAAAGUGUUUUUUUCACUGACUUAAUUUCAUGGAUGCAAAUACAAAACAACAAUUCAUUGUUCAGGGUAAA